UCUCUUGGGGGUGGGCUCUACUGAAUUUGAGACCCACUGCAAAUGAGGAGGCCACACAGGAAGGACCUUGGGGGUCCCUGGAAACUAGAAAUCAACUUCCUUUACAUUGUAAAGUCUCUGGUUUAUUGCAGACCAGCUCUCCCCCAGGCUGAGAGCCAGAUACUGGGAGCUUGUGGUAGGGGUGGUGUGAGAGAAAUGUUCCCCAUGGCCGCCUGUUCUCCUCCUGCCCAGCCCCCACCGGCACACACACAGGUGCAUACACACAUCCACAUGCACACACUACUCUCUCAGGAGGUCUGCUGGGAAACCAACAGACUUUCAGAAAAGCCUGUUCCAACCCUGGCUUCAUGGGGCAUGGUGAGCUCCUGAUCUUCUCUCACGGGCCCUUGUUGGGGAGGAAAGAUUUCUCUCCCUCACCCAUCACCAGGUUUAUGGCUGAGGCACCCAUAGUAAAAGACAGAUUAACAAGAAAAAAGCAUACACAUUUCUUUAAUAUCUAGGUUUGACAUGACACGGGAGCCUUCAGAAAUGAAGACCUCAAGAAACAGGAAAACCUGUGUGUUUUUAUGCUUAGGUUUGAUAAAGAGUGAACAGUCGUGCAGACGUGGACAAAGCAGAGUUCAGAGUGGGAGCACCUACCUGGGUCUCAGUAACACUGAGGGCCUCUCCGGGUGAAUCUCUGCGUUGUUAUGCAGACCAAGUCUCUACGUUGGCAAAUACUUCACCCACUCCAGGGAGAAAGGAAAGAAGGAGAUUUCUGGGCACCAUGUGCAGUAACCAAAGCAGAGCAUUCAUCCUGUGAAUCUGAACAGCAUUAAUGAAGAAUGUAGGUCUCCUAUUCCAACUGGGACUCAGAGCGGAACAAUGGCAUAGCUUGCGUAUUUAUUUAGGCCGUGGCAUCUCAGCAAUGAAAAAGUUCGUGGAAUAAAUGAGCAAAAGAUGGAGAACUUUUCUGCUCUGUGUUUAUAGGUUUCGGCUGUUCCCAAAUCAUCCAUCUUGAGAUCUCACCGUAAAGCAGACAAGCAGCCCUUUGACAGGCGCAUCUUGAAAGUUUUACACUAUUUAUU